rnacentral:rRNA from 1 species
AUGCGGAACGGCAGCGGUGGUGGCCGGAGCUUGCAAGGGCUGGGGAGGCUGAUUCGAAGGCGGGCGGUGAGGCAGGGGAAUGGUGAGGAAGGCAGGAGCGAGGGAUCCGGUGACCUAGGCAGGAGCUCGCCGGAGCCGGGUAAUGGCCGACGGGCGCACGAGGCAGAGGGAUCCGAUGCGGCGGUUCGAAGUCCUUGCAGGCAAAUGCGGACCUCCAUGGCUGGCAGAGGGGGCUCCAAGGCCAUGGCGGGGAUUCGGUUUUCCUUGGUAUAG